CCUACGGGAGGCAGCAGUGAGGAAUAUUGGUCAAUGGGCGCAAGCCUGAACCAGCCAAGCCGCGUGCGGGAUGACGGCCCUAUGAGUUGUAAACUGCUUUUGUAGGGGAGCAAAUUCCCUCACGUGUGCCGGGUUGAAAGUACCGUACGAAAAAGGAUCGGCUAACUCCGUGCCAGCAGCCGCGGUAAUACGGAGGAUGCGAGCGUUAUCCGGAUUUAUUGGGUUUAAAGGGUGCGUAGGCGGUCCGGUAAGUUAGGGGUGAAAUCCCGGGGCUCAACUCCGGCACUGCCUUUGAUACUGUCGGGCUGGAGUUUGGGAGAGGUAGGCGGAAUGCAUGGGGUAGCGGUGAAAUGCGUAGAGAUCGGGCAGAACACCGAUGGCGAAGGCAGCUUACCGGACCACGACUGACGCUGAGGCACGAAAGCGUGGGGAGCAAACAGGAUUAGAUACCCUAGUAGUC
rnacentral:rRNA from 1 species